CCAGACUCCUACGGGAGGCAGCAGUGGGGAAUAUUGGUCAAUGGCCGAGAGGCUGAACCAGCCAAGUCGCGUGAGGGAAUAAGGCCCUACGGGUCGUAAACCUCUUUUGCCGGGGAGCAAGGGCGGGGACGUGUCCCGGCCCGGAGAGUACCCGGAGAAAAAGCAUCGGCUAACUCCGUGCCAGCAGCCGCGGUAAUACGGAGGAUGCGAGCGUUAUCCGGAUUUAUUGGGUUUAAAGGGUGCGUAGGCGGGAGCCCAAGUCAGGGGUAAAAUACGGGGCCUCAACCUACGUCCGCCGUUGAAACUGGCGUUCUUGAGUGGGCGAGAAGUACGCGGAAUGCGUGGUGUAGCGGUGAAAUGCAUAGAUAUCACGCAGAACCCCGAUUGCGAAGGCAGCGUACCGGCGCCCGACUGACGCUGAAGCACGAAAGCGUGGGUAUCGAACAGGAUUAGAUACCCCUGUA
rnacentral:rRNA from 1 species